GGGGGCGUGGCGGAAUUGGCAUACGCAGGAGACUUAAAAUCUCUCGCCGCAAGGAUUGUGGGUUCGAGUCCCACCGCCCCUACCA
rnacentral:tRNA from 89 species